rnacentral:rRNA from 1 species
GACGAACGCUGGCGGCGUGCCUAAUACAUGCAAGUCGAACGCAGUUGGGACGGGUGAGUAACACGUGGGUAACCUCCCCUCAGAGGGGAUAACACUUGGAAACAGGUGCUAAACCGAUAUUGAUGGUUGGACCCGCGGUGCAUUAGGUAGUUGGUGAGGUACCGGCUCACCAAGGCCACGAUGCAUAGCCUGCCUGAGAGGGUGAUCGGCCAAACUGGGAAUUAGACACGGCCCAGACUCCUACGGGAGGCAGCAGUAGGGAAUCUUCGGCAAUGGGCGAAAGUCUGCCCGAGCAACGCCGCGGAAGUGAAGAAGGUUUUCGGAUCGUAAAACUCUGUUGUUAGAGAAGCGGUAUCUAACCAGAAAGCCACGGCUAACUACGUGCCAGCAGCCGCGGUAAUUC